CCUACGGGAGGCAGCAGUGGGGAAUNUUGGACAAUGGGCGAAAGCCUGAUCCAGCCAUGCCGCGUGUGUGAAGAAGGUCUUCGGAUUGUAAAGCACUUUAAGUUGGGAGGAAGGGCAGUAAGUUAAUACCUUGCUGUUUUGACGUUACCGACAGAAUAAGCACCGGCUAACUNCGUGCCAGCAGCCGCGGUAAU
rnacentral:rRNA from 1 species